rnacentral:rRNA from 1 species
GACGAACGCUGGCGGCGUGCUUAACACAUGCAAGUCGAACGGAAAGGCCCUGCUUUUGUGGGGUGCUCGAUUGCCGAAGGGGUGAGUAACACGUGAGUAACCUGCCCUUGACUUUGGGAUAACUUCACGAAACUGGGGCUAAUACCGGAUAGGAGCUCCUGCUGCACGGUGGGGGUUGGAAAGUUUCGGCGUUUGGGGAUGGACUCGCGGCUUAUCAGCUUGUUGGUGGGGUAGUGGCUUACCAAGCCUUUGACGGGUAGGCGGCCUGAGAGGGUGACCGGGCACAUUGGGACUGAGAGAGGGCCCAGACUCCUACGGGAGGCAGCGGUGGGGAGUAUUGCACAAUGGGCGGAAGCCUGAUGCGGCGACGCCGCGUGCGGGAUGACGGCCUUCGGGUUGUAAACCGCUUUCGCCUGUGACGAAGCGUGAGUGACGGUAAUGGAUAAAGAAGCACCGGCUAACUACGUG